rnacentral:rRNA from 1 species
GACGAAGGGGCCAAGCGUUGUUCGGAAUUAUUGGGCUUAAAGAGCACGUAGGCGGACAGUUAAGUGUUUUGUGAAAUCCCUCGGCUCAACCGAGGAACUGCAUAGCAUACUGGCUGUCUUGAGACAAGUAGGGGUGCGUAGAACUCUAGGUGGAGCGGUGAAAUGCGUAGAUAUCUAGAGGAAUGCCCGUGGUGAAAACGGCGCACUGGGCUUGUUCUGACGCUGAGGUGCGAAAGCGUGGGUAGCGAACGGG